GUCGAACGAGGCUUCGGCCUAGUGGCGAACGGCUGAGUAACACGUUGGUAGCUGCCCCGCACUCAGGGAUAACAUCUAGAAAUAGAUGCUAAUACCGGAUGGCCCCGAAAGGGUAAAGAUUUAUCGGUGCGGGAGGCGCCUGCGGCCUAUCAGCUUGUUGGUGAGGUAACGGCUCACCAAGGCUAUGACGGGUAACUGGUCUGAGAGGACGACCAGUCAGAAUGGGACUGAGACACGGCCCAUACUCC
rnacentral:rRNA from 1 species